rnacentral:rRNA from 1 species
GAUGAACGCUGGCGGCGUGCCUAAUACAUGCAAGUAGAACGCUGAAGCUUGGUGCUUGCACCGAGCGGAUGAGUUGCGAACGGGUGAGUAACGCGUAGGUAACCUGCCUCUUAGCGGGGGAUAACUAUUGGAAACGAUAGCUAAUACCGCAUAAAAGUCGAUAUCGCAUGAUGUUGAUUUGAAAGGUGCAAUUGCAUCACUAAGAGAUGGACCUGCGUUGUAUUAGCUAGUUGGUGAGGUAACGGCUCACCAAGGCGACGAUACAUAGCCGACCUGAGAGGGUGAUCGGCCACACUGGGACUGAGACACGGCCCAGACUCCUACGGGAGGCAGCAGUAGGGAAUCUUCGGCAAUGGGGGCAACCCUGACCGAGCAACGCCGCGUGAGUGAAGAAGGUUUUCGGAUCGUAAAGCUCUGUUGUAAGAGAAGAACGAGUGUGAGAGUGGAAAGUUCACACUGUGACGGUAACUUACCAGAAAGGGACGGCUAACUACGUGCCAGCAGCCGCGGUAAUACGUAGGUCCCGAGCGUUAUCCGGAUUUAUUGGGCGUAAAGCGAGCGCAGGCGGUUAGAUAAGUCUGAAGUUAAAGGCUGUGGCUUAACCAUAGUACGCUUUGGAAACUGUUUAACUUGAGUGCAGAAGGGGAGAGUGGAAUUCCAUGUGUAGCGGUGAUAUGCGUAGAUAUAUGGGAGGAACACCGGUGGCGAAAGCGGCUCUCUGGUCUGUAACUGACGCUGAGGCUCGAAAGCGUGGGGGAGCAAACAGG